GUGCCAGCAGCCGCGGUAAUACGUAGGGUGCGAGCGUUAAUCGGAAUUACUGGGCGUAAAGCGUGCGCAGGCGGUUCUAUAAGACAGAUGUGAAAUCCCCGGGCUUAACCUGGGAACUGCGUUUGUGACUGUAGGACUCGAGUGUGGCAGAGGGGGGUGGAAUUCCACGUGUAGCAGUGAAAUGCGUAGAGAUGUGGAGGAACACCGAUGGCGAAGGCAGCCCCCUGGGUCAACACUGACGCUCAUGCACGAAAGCGUGGGUAGCAAACAGGAUUAGAAACCCCCGUAGUCC
rnacentral:rRNA from 1 species